UACGUAGGCAGCGAGCGUUGUUCGGAGUUACUGGGCGUAAAGGGUGCGUAGGCGGUUGUUUUAAGUUUGGUGUGAAAUCUCCCGGCUCAACUGGGAGGGUGCGCCGAAUACUGAAUGACUAGAGUGCGGGAGAGGAUAGUGGAAUUCCUGGUGUAGCGGUGAAAUGCGUAGAUAUCAGGAGGAACACCGGUGGUGUAGACGGCUACCUGGACCGUA
rnacentral:rRNA from 1 species